GGGGUUGUAGCUCAUUGGUAGAGCACUUGCCUCACAGGUGAGAGGCACUGGGUUCAGUCCUCAGCACCACA
rnacentral:tRNA from 1 species